rnacentral:rRNA from 1 species
AGCGAACGCUGGCGGCAGGCCUAACACAUGCAAGUCGAACGAACCCUUCGGAGUUAGUGGCGGACGGGUGAGUAACACGUGGGAACGUGCCUUUUGGUUCGGAAUAACUCAGGGAAACUUGUGCUAAUACCGAAUGUGCCCUUCGGGGGAAAGAUUUAUCGCCAUUAGAGCGGCCCGCGUCUGAUUAGCUAGUUGGUGAGGUAACGGCUCACCAAGGCGACGAUCAGUAGCUGGUCUGAGAGGAUGACAAGCCACACUGGGACUGAGACACGGCCCAGACUCCUACGGGAGGCAGCAGUGGGUAAUCUUGCGCAAUGGGCGAAGGCCUGACGCAGCCAUGCCGCGUGAAUGAUGAAGGUCUUAGGAUUGUAAAAUUCUUUCACCGGGGACGAUAAUGACGGUACCCGGAGAAGAAGCCCCGGCUAACUUCGUG